AUGAUCUCAUCCAUCAGCCUACUUGACAGUUCCCACCAGCUCAUUCACAAACUCUACAGAAAAUGCUGGCCAAGUAACUCAAAUGCCAAACUGAACAUGCAUUCAACCGCAAAAUCUGGGGGUAAGAGCAUGAGGCUGAAGAUGGCACUUCUGAAGCCCCAUGCAACUGACUUCAAGAGGAACCACCAAGCCCACGAGGAAGACAAUGUGUUCUACAAAUUAGUUUAUAGGCUCCCUGAAAGCCUUAGCUGUCUGUACGCCAGUCAGAAACCAGUAAGAAAGAAGAAACAGCAGAAGCAAGGAACUGUGCCUAGUAACCGGUUUGGUGUGAUCUUGGAGUGGGAGGGAGUUGUUGUGGAAGAUGAUGAUCCUGACCUGGAGCCCCGAGUGUGGUACGUACUAUCACUUGAAGAGGCAAAGUCUUUUCCUCCGGAUGAAAUGCUGAAGGAAAUUGAGGGAAUGAGAACUGAUCAGGCUAUCUCAGAAGUCUUAAGUUGGUCGAAAGAUGCAAAAGAAAUUGAAAGGUUAGCAGCACGCAAGGAGGUAAUAUAUCAGAAACUCCGAGGCACUUUCUACCAGCUGCGACCAGGUGUUCUUGACUUCUUGAACGCCCUUGUGGAUUCUGACAUUCCAAUAGCAGUAACGGCUUCUCGCCCAAAAAUGAACCUGGAAGAAGGCAUAAAAGCUGUUGGCCUGCAAGGCUAUUUCGAUGUCGUAGUGGCGGCGGAGGACUUCCGCCGAGGGAAACCCGAGGGUGAGAUGUUUGAGGUUGCAGCAGAGCAGCUUGGUCUUGAGCCUGAUGUUUGUCUUGUGAUGGGUAGCUCAAACUUGACGACAGAGUCUGCGCAUACUGCUGGGAUGAGGUGUGUGGCGGUUGCAAGCCGGCACCCUGCCUAUGAACUCCAUGCAGCAAACCAUGUUGUGAGAUGGCUUGAUCAGCUCUCUGUUGUUGACCUGCAGAGGCUCGCCAAUGGCGAGGUUCUUGGGCGCAGGGGCAGACGAUCUGACAUGGACAUGGAGAUUGUGAUCGAGGAGUGA
rnacentral:rRNA from 1 species